ensembl:snRNA U6 U6 spliceosomal RNA
GUGCUCACUUCAACAGCACAUAUAUUAAAAUUAGAAUGCACAGAAAAGAUUAGCAUGGCCCCUAUGCAAAGAUGACAUGCAAAUUUGUGAAAUGUUCCAUAUGUAU